GGAUACUGACAUCUAUUAUGACAGGAGCUGCUGCAUUCAUGUAUGUGAAGAAUUAUAAAAAUGACGAUAUACCCUGACCUGUCUCCAGCAUCAACAAAGGACGUUCCAGUGAACGUUUUCAUCUUACCUGCAAAAUCUAGAAGCCAGAUUCAUUGCUUCCAUUUCACAGAUGAGCACCAAGGGAGUUGUUUGGGACUCAUUCUUUUGGAAGCAAUUAUCCACAAGAGAGGCGUUCACUUCAUUUGGGCUGCAUUUUAUAUCCAAACCAUGAUAAAAAGGCACAAAAUUGACUUUGCCUGUGCAGCUCACACACUGGAAAGUCCUUCACUGUGAGUUUCGAUCUGGCUGCCUGUUGACUGAGCCCGCCUUGGAAGGAAGACCAGGGAUAAAGUCGCCUGUGUCUGACCUCUGAUCUGCUAGCCAACAUAUUUACUGUCUCAGGAAAAUACUCGUUGAUGGACCUUUUUCACUAGGAAAGCAACUGAUGGUGUGUUUUAUCUUCACGUUAACGCUAUAAUUUCAUCCCGAGUAAAUCAACUUGUCUCGGAGGACUCACCGAGCCCUUCCCCUCUCUCCACCCUGCCCUGGAAUGUCACCCGUCGUGAGGCCCUCUUACUGGGCACCUUUUAACAUGAAAUCAGAUGUGGCUUUGCUCUGCAGCAGUGGCCAGGAACAUUCAGACACAGGAGAAAAUCGCUUCUAAAUAAACAAACUCCAUCAGCUACAUUUGCUCAUGUAGUGAGCACAAUACCUUGAUUAGUGAGAACAAUACUUUAUUCAAGUUAUUUGAGUUUUACCUUUUGUCCUGGAGCUUUCUCCCUCCAUGAAGAAAAAUAACCAUGCGCCCCCAAGUUAACAAAUCCUGACCACACCCCCGCCCAGGGAGGCGGCCUGCCCUGGGCGAGAGAGAGUGAGAUCUGAAAGCACCUUCCGUUUCAUCACAACCAGACAGAAAAGUAAGUAUUCAGGUCCUCAUGGCUCCCCUUUAGUCACCUCUUGGAAGGUGACUGCUUCUAAAAGAGUCUUGGCUGCUGGAAACUUCCAAGUGAACAAGCGGAAUCCUCCCCCCACCCCAAGACUUAGCACCACCCUGGGAGCUGCCCCUCUGCCUUCCAAUCUGGCACAUCCUGCCUCUUGUGGGCCUUCACUGGCUUUCUCCCCUCUACCAGAAUACCUUCCAUUCUCCCACUGAAUCCAAAAAGCAGCAAUACACCAGGAAAAAAUAAAGAGAGAGGGGGGAACGGAUACUCUGAUCACCUCCUGACUUAAAUCAUCUUAAAUUACCUCCAGCCAAUAGAUUGUGAUGCCUGCUGUGUUCAUCUGUGUCUGUGUGUGUGCAUGUGGUAUAUGCACAUGUGUGUGUGCACAUGUGCAUGUGAUGUGUGUAUAUGCUCACACUUAGCCCAAGGCUGGCUCACGCUCCUUGGACAGAGAGGUUGGGAGGAAGAACACGUGGAUUUCAGUUAAAGUCCCGGACCUAGCACUGGGCAUCAGUGCUUUCCACUUUGCACAUAGUAGUAUAUGCCUCUCUUACAUGUAAAGAGUGGUGCUAUCAUCUGUGCAUGUGACUGAAUCUGUAAACCUCUUCUAAAUAAGGUCUCCUCUUGACCUAAAUGCAGGCCCUCCUCAAGGCACCUUCAGGGGACGACAGGGGUGAAUGGACCCCCCACUGUUGUGUCACUGUUGGUUGGUUUUUCAUAUUGCUAUUUUUCUUGCAUUAUCCCACGUCACCUGGGGGUGCAAGGUGGGGGAUAAUUAUUCUAACUGACCUAUUGAAGGUCACUUGUCUGCCCCUUGGCUAAGGCAAGAGGGGCCACUUAAUUGUCAGGCCCUCUGAUAAUACAUCCAGCAGUGUCCAUUCCCCCCUCCCCAAAGAAGUCAGGGUGCUGGUGCCAAAGAAAUUAAUGACAAAUACCUCCAACAAGAAGGCAAGGCAGAUCCUCAAGCCCCGGGGGCUGUCAUGGGCGUUUGAGCUGUGCUCAUAAUUCCAACCUACCCUGCUGUUGAGAGAACGUGCAUUCUCCUCCAUCGCCACAACCUCCUCAUCAAAAAAGAGAUGCUCCCUCGCUGUGAAAUAUUGCAGGUGAGCAGAUGCUGUUUCCUUAAAUCAGGACAUUUGUCAAAGAACUUUGACAGGUCCUUGUCAAUAAAGACAAAAAAUGCAGAACAUGUGACCACACCAUGUUGCGGGGGGGGGGGUUGUCGGGGAGUGACAAUACGUGUUUUUCUUUCCACUUAACGUUUCUCUUGAAGUUAAAUACUUUUUCCUUAUUACUCAGAAUUUAUGAGGCUCCUCAAUGUUUAAUCUCCUGCCUCAACUUUGAUCUAGAACCAAAUUUCCUUCAAGGGACAUACCCAAAUCAGAAAGAAUCCAAAUCAAAAGCAGGAAAUAUUUGAUGCUUAGUGUGGUGGAAGAGCUUUGCUAUCAGACGGAACUGGUGCCUGAACCCUGCUCCACCUUUUGCUGGCUCCAUGACAUCGGGCAAGUAUUCCAAGGCUCACCUUCCCCAUCUGUAAGGUGGGAGCAUGACAGUGUCCUGUAUUCGGAGUGAUGGUGAAGGUUCCACGUGAUAACGCCUAGUGGUCGUUACCCCCCUUGGUGGUACUUAACGAACUGUCAUUAGCUGAGUCAACGCUAUGUACCAUGCUUCUGUGACAAUAUUUCUAUGCCUUAUAAUGACUUCCCGUGGUUGUUAAUCCCCAUUUAACAGAUGAGUGAACUGAGAUUCAGAGAAAUCAUGGCACCCCCUGACACUUCUAAAGCUGGCAAGCUCCUCCAGGUCCCUCUGGCUGCCUAAGCAAUUGGAGAUAACGUCAGCUUCUGUGUACCACAGGUGGGCCAGAAGGGUGGCUCCGCACAGCCAGGUAGGGCCUGGAGUUGGUAA
rnacentral:lncRNA from 1 species